GGCACCUGUGUUUGUUUUUGUUUAAUAUGUAGACAAACCAUAGAUUGGUGCAAAAAAUAUAUCCUCUUUUGCAAUGCAGAACUCAUUGUUCAGUAUGAGUUUUGAUUCAGAUAAGAAGGAACAUA
rnacentral:snoRNA from 1 species